CACCGCCCCUCGGGCACGGUGCUCCCCUCACACCACGGUGCCCCUCUCACAUCGCCCCUCGGGCACGGCGGCACCGUCACAGCGCCCCUCGGGCACGGUGCUCCCCUCACACCGCCCCUGGGGCACGGUGCUCCCCUCACACCGCCCCUCGGGCACGGUGCUCCCCUCACACCGCCCCGUCCCUCCGGGCGGGCAGGGAUGUCCCUGCGGGAACACGCUGCGCGUGGAGGGCGCGGAGUCUCCCUCUCCGGAGUCAUUCCAAAGCCAGCCUGUGUCCCUGUGCCACCUGCUCCGGGUGGCCCUGCGGUGGCGGGGGGUUGGACUGGAUGAUGUCCAGACGUCCUUUCCAAGCGCAGCUAUUCUGUGGCACGGCGAUUCUGGGUCCAGCCCUUAUCCUGCUGCCUGCUCUCCUUCCCCACGGCCCGGGGCUGCCUCAGCUGGAAGAUUCCUGCUGAGGGAAUAGCAUGGAAGGAGAAGAGCGUGUGGAGCUGUUUGGGGAGAGCAUCAGGAGUAGACCCAUGUGGGAAUCGGAACAUUUGGUAGGAAGAGAGAAGGACAGAGGAAGAGCGAGGAACAAGAUGGGGAAGAAACUGCAGUGUGUGAAGUCUCAAUGUUCAGAAUGGAGACGAGGAGCUCUGGAAGCACAGCACUGGUUUUCCUCCAUCUACCAGCUAAUCAUGCUAUUGUGUAGUUUCAAAUAUAUUGGGGGAGGCUGGAAGGGCAGGUAGAAAAAGAGAAAUGAUUUAAUACUCCUUCUCCACAAAGAACCUUCUGCACAAGAACCAAGUCUGUCUCCUGUAGCUGCUAAUCAUUCCUCCAUUGAGAUCCCCAGCAAGGGGAACACACAGGCUGAGUGUAUUUUUCCAAUAUUCUCCCUCUGGGCUGCUCUGACUCUCGGGGGAUGAGGCUCUGCUUGACUGUGUAAUAUGUUGUUUACUCUGUACCCUUAGGCCACCAAUUGAGCAAUAUUUUUAAUAUGUUUUCUGUGAGUAUUGAGUGAUUAUGUGCGACACUGGGAAUCGGAUACACCCUAUGUAUCCAGAAAGCAAGUGACACCUUUGCCACCUCCCUGCACACACAUCUCCUGGACAGCACACAGUGACUUUUAAACUGGUGUGAGCCAGAAGAGGAGGAAGCACAAAGCUGUCAGUAACCUGAGAGUGUGAGAGCGUGUCCCUUACAGAAGGCCACUCUGCUCAUUACAGAGGCACAUGGCUAGUUUUUAAACAUUCUCAAAUAUCAACCUAGAGAACAUCUCCUAAUCUGACCUUAGAUCUCCCUGUUCAGAUUUUCUUUGCUGUUUAACAAAUGCAUUUCUCUAUCUUACUUUGUGUUCUUUUGUCUCACAGCUGCCUGCCAGUUCUAUACAAUCUGACUAUACAGAAGCUGCACUAGUAUUGCUGAAGUGUUACAAUUUGUGUACAGCAAGCUCAAGAUCUCUGUCUUCCAAGAAAUAUUAAGCUCUGCUGUGUCAAACAACUGUUACCUGUUGGGGUUUUUUGAAAAUAACUGUGUAAUUUUCAGGGCAAUGUAAUUGAUUAUAGUUUCCUGCAUAUCCAUCACCAUUAAAGUGACUUAAGAGACCUGUAGUCAGAUACAUUUCUGCAGACAUUCAUUGCGUGGCUGAGAGUCUGCUCAGUCUGUUUUCUUCUCAAAUGCAUGGAUGUGGAUAACAGACACGAUACGUGAUUCAUUUCGCAUUCUUUGUAGAAACAAAUCCCCAGACUUGCAUAUCUAUGGAAAAAAAUAAGAUUAAAACCCAUCCAUCUAACUCAUCCUCCAUUGCAAAACAUUUUUGUUCUUUGUAAUAUUUGUCUAGCAUUAGAAAUCACAGGUCACCUUCUUGGGUAUGAUACAGGUGAAUUAUCCCUUUUCUGGGUCUGAUCCAGCAGAAGCAUU